rnacentral:rRNA from 1 species
ACAGAGGUGGCAAGCGUUACUCGGAAUUAUUGGGUGUAAAGGGCAGGUAGGUGGCCUGUUAAGUGAGGGGUGAAAUCCUGCGGUUCAAUCGCAGAACAGCCUUUCAAACUAUCAGGCUUGAGAGAAACAGAGGAAGAUGGAAUUCCCGGUGUAAGGGUGAAAUCUGUAGAUAUCGGGAAGAACACCGAAGGCGAAGGCAAUCUACUGAGUUUCUUCUGACACUGAGCUGCGAAAGCUAGGGGAGCAAGCAG